AACGACGACCCCUCGCACGAAAGAAACCUCACGAUCGAGGCUGCCCUCAUCUAUUCGCUACAACGACGGGAGCCAUGCCGCCACCGCCACCGCCACCGCGAUCCCUGAAAUGCCGCUGAUCUAUUCGCUACAUCGAUGGAAACCGGGCACUAGCCACGGAUCCCUUUGCCGACGCCGAGCAGUCAUCGAGGAGCCGGCACCGAGGUCCUCAAGGAGGCGCCGCCGCCAUCGUUGCAGGCCUCCGGGUUGCCAUCGGGACACCGCUGCCGAGAUCCGCCUUCGCCUUCGUCCGGCAGAGGCGGCGGAAGGCAGCCGGGAGGGGAAGCGCACAACGACCCGGAAGACAUCCGCCCUCACGCGCUCAUCGUCUUGCUCGAUCUACCCGAGGGAUGCCAAUGGGCGCCUCGGCGGCGUCCACGGCGAGAUCUGAGUCUGGGACGUGACAAUCCCUCCACCCCGGUCGCCGGUGAGAUUUCACUGCCUCGAUCCUCCCGGUCCCAGUUUAUCAGGUCAUCCCUGACAAGAGGGAGCGAGAGAUGCUACUGCCGGGCACGUGCACGCACGUGGGGCGGCCGCCUACGAGCAGGGCCGCGUCCUCUCUCCUUCGUCGACCAUGGCCUCCAAACCACUCCGUUGUACCUCUGCACCCAAGUGUCCGCUCCUCGAUCUUCAACAGAUUUUUUAUCGCCUCUCUUCCGUUGCAGGUAGGGUACACUUGAUGUUUCAUGUUUGGUGAAAGAAAAGGAGCUUCCUAUGUUGAUUUCGGGCAAGACAUACAUUCUGCCAUGCAUUAGUAGAUCAAUUGCUUCUUUGUGUAGGGGAACGAUUAGUGAUUGAAUCUCUCUGUCUCGUUUCUUGAUUAUCCAAUUAAUUUACCCUCAUCUAUGCAUAAGUUGGUCCGAUUGAGUUAUGCCAUUUUUUUUAAUAAUCUAUAUUAGUUCUAUAUAUGACUAGAACAAUAUGAUACGAUGCACAUCGGUCCGCUUUACUGGCAGCUAUCCUUCAAGAUUGAGGGGAGGCACUCUUGUGGACCUGCCCAAUGUUCGAGGAGAUACGGCUGACUAAACAAGGUUAUUUUAAAGUUCGGUGUGGUUCAUGUUAGCUAUCUAUCAGUAAUAGUACAACCUUGAUUUUUAUGUCGUUCAGGUUUACCUAACCAUCAGUAACAUUACUUUCUAUUGGAGACUUCUUACAGGAGGUGCUUAUAAAAUGAUAGUUGAACAUGUACAGAUUUUGGAUCACGAUCAUCUAUUUACCAGGCAUCAGUUAACUCAAGGCAUCAAUCAAAAUCUAGUGUUCUUUGUUUUGUGCAUCAUGGAGAAGACAAAGAACAGAGAUUGUGUGAUAUAUCCGAUAGCGCAAUAUAAUUUUCUCUUGCAUAUUUAUAAUCUGCCAUUUGAAUGAUGUUUUCUGUGUUGUAGUCAAAUCAAGACAAUUUGCAACUUUGGUGUUGUGACGUUGGAGGCCGUGCUCAACAGCAAUGGGGGACUGUUCGUUGAUGCCUGACCCAUGAUGCCGGUGAAGGAAUGAGAGUCGACGAGGAGUGGACGCCAUGGGUUCGUGAACUGGCGAAGCCUCCGUUGUCCGUUUGGUAAUGUCCGACGCAUCAUAGGCAUAGUAUGACUUGUCUCGUUUAUGAUGUCGUCUACAAACAUCCAACGGAGGGGAACCCGUCCCAGUUUCCAUCUUGAUGAAAUAUGUGAGUUGUUUGCUUGCUCAACCUUACGCUGGGAUCAUGUCUAUAGACUACAAAUAGAGGGAAGUUAGCCUGUGCCUUACUAGAGAGAGAUGAACCAAUAAAAUGAUUGGAAAGGUUCUUCCCAAGCAAAAGAUUACCUAUGAUGAAAAUUACAUUCUCUGCGGGCGCUGAUUCUGAUAUAUUACUAUGGCAAAGGAAGUUCAAAAUUUAUCUCAAUCAAGCAUGUGCAAAGGAAAAUCCAAAAUAUGUCAUGACGCCGCCGUCGCCUCGGAUCCCCACAUGCCGCCAGCAUGGCCGUGACAACUGAUGAGCACGCUCCACCCCCAUUCCUGCCACAGAUGAAGAAAAGUAGGCUCAAUCAGGCCAUGACCAGAGUUGAAGAAGGCUCAGGCAGAUGGUGAUACUCUCAAACCAGGAGACCCCAACCCGGUAACCAAGACAUGGAAAAGUGGAGUGCGGCCGUAAAGAAUGCUCAUCAAAUUGCUGGCUCCAUGUUGCCUAUCCACUGUCAUCAUACUUGUCUGCAUCAAAACGUCUCCGUUGAUGUUGAAUAUGAAACAGUUGCCAUUGUCCCACCAGCAGCACCGAAGACGAGCCCAGCAGCAACAUGAUGGAGACCAACAGUACUUCUUGAUCCGGUAUCUGAAUCAUUGGUCGUCAGUGUUUCCGCAGAAAGCGUGUAGAGGGAGAUGGUUCUGCCGAUAACCGACACACUGAGGUAGGUGUAGGUCUGGACGCUGGUGCUGUUGGAGGCGCGCCGGUCGAGCUCAACCAUCACUCAGCCGGGCUGUAAGAUCAUGAUCAUCUUUUAGCGAAUACAAAGGCUAGGCGGGGCGGUCGAUUUGCAGCGGGGUGGCGUGAGGGAUAUCUCGUUUGGAAGAGCAGGUGGAGUACAAGGUUACAAGGUCGUGUCGAGGUCCAAUGACCGGAAUAUCGGCUCCACAGAGGACGCCAUCACAGCCCGUCUUUCCGGCUUGAGGCUUAUCAAACACUUUUGGGUUCAAGAUUCAGGACAAACAAGGCAAGAUGCACAAAUUUAACUGUGCUCCAUUGAUAAAUCGAACCUACCUCAAAUUCUGGUACUGUUCAAGCUCCAUUCUCUAUAUAUGUGCCUAUAUACCUAUAUCACUGUCAGUUCUCUAAGGUUUCUUCUUUUCCUAAUACCAUUUGACAGUACGAAGAUGAUGAUCACAAUAAAGUCAUGCUCUCAUCGGAUUCCGACCAUAUAGCGACUGUGUACCAUGCAAAGCAAAUCGCUUGGAAGGUAAUAAGAGGCAAAUUCAACCUUCACUCUACAAAAUCUGCAACACAUCAUAUUAAUUGGAAACUCAACUCUUGAUUGCAAAAGUUAAGUCUGUGCUAUAAAUGCAGGCAAUACAAAAGGUAGGAAGAACUUAGGAAGGUUCCUUUUUUGUCGUCAUAAUGGAACAAUUUAACUAAGUUGCUCUCUGCUGGUUGUUUGAAGACAAAUUAUAAUGUGUAACCUACCAAAUACUAAAUUAAACUUUAUCAUCAGUUCCAUGUUAUUCCAUGUAGUAGUGUAUGCGGGAAUUAUAUUGAUGAUUUCAUUUUACCUUCAUAUCUGCUUAAUUUUCUUACCAAACACAAAAGCUCUAUGUCUUGAUGUGUUCAUAGAAGUGAAGAUAUAACUCAUGAUGCAAGCCUAAUAUGCUGAUAAUAUUUUUACGGUUCAAUGUUCCUAUGAGGGGAGUGGGUGGGGACGGCAAUGAGUGUCUUAACAUAUCAAGCAGUUGCCGCCUAUGAGGGGAGUGAGUGGAGAUGGCCAGAUCUGUGCGGCGGAGGGGCGAUGGAAGCUCGAAUGGAAGAUUUCUCGCCAGCAUCGGAGCAAUUUAUUGGCCAGAUCGACCAUAAAGCUCCUACAUAGACAUGAAGGAUUGUCAUUAUUAAGAAGUUCAAUCUUUGGAAAUUCAGCAUGUGACACUGUAAAAAUAGAAAGAAGCUAGAAAAUUGUCUCUGGCCGAUUUCGUAUGUAGUUGUGAGCAUUGCUAAUUUCUGUCAACAUGAACGAGAUUUGGACUAUUUAUAUAGCUACCAUGUGCUCAACAAAUUGUCUGAUAAUGUAACACUCCUGAAUAGAUUGAUGUAUGAUAAGCACAUGUGUUAAUUUUGAAGCAGGUGAUA